GCCCAACCAUUAACAUAGACAACAAUAUACAAUGUUGUCCGCCAGAGAACUACGAGCGAAAAACUUAAAACUCUAAGGACUUGGCGGUACCCCACACCGACCUAGAGGAGCCUGUCCUAUAAUCGAUACCCCACGUUUUACCCAACCCCCCCUUGCAUCCCAGCCUAUAUACCGCCGUCGCCAGCCUACCCUAUGAAAGAAGCAAAGUAGGCAUAAUAGUUUUCAACUAAUACGUCAGGUCAAGGUGUAGCAAAUGGGGCGGAAGAGAUGGGCUACAUUUUCUAACCUAGAAAACUACGAACAGUAUAAUGAAACACAUACUCAAAGGUGGAUUUAGUAGUAAGGAAGACAAGAAACUCUACCUUAAACACGCUCUGGGGUGCGC
rnacentral:rRNA from 1 species